UCGUCGGGCUCAAGAGGUAAGAUGAACAAUCUUGCACAUUGGGCUGCAUGAAGGGAAACCUUCAUGUGAUAACCUCUCAAAUUCGGGGAAGCCUGUAAGAUGGUAAUCCCGAGCCAAGCUCAAACAGGAAUGUUUGAGAAGGUGUAGAGACUUGAUGGGAGGUACCCUAACGUAAAGCCGAGGGUAAAGGGAAAGUCCAGACUACAAACGUUGCAGG
rnacentral:ncRNA from 1 species